rnacentral:rRNA from 1 species
AACGAACGCUGGCGGCGCGCCUAAUACAUGCAAGUCGAGCGAGAAGACGUAGCAAUACGUUUGUAAAGCGGCGAACGGGUGAGGAAUACAUGGGUAACCUACCCUCGAGUGGGGAAUAACUAGCCGGAAAGGUUGGCUAAUACCGCGUACGCUCCUUGGACUUCGGUUCAGGGAGGAAAGCGAUACCGUGGGUAUCGCGCUCUUGGAUGGGCUCAUGUCCUAUCAGCUUGUUGGUGAGGUAACGGCUC